rnacentral:lncRNA from 1 species
GAUUUUAGUACAAAGAUUGAUACAAAAUAUGGGUAUUUUGAUCCUCCAGAAUUCUAGCAACAGGUACAUGCCUGCUGCAGGAAUCUUACAGAAUGGCAGCUACUGGGUCCUCCUUGCACAUUGCUCCAUGGGAGACAUGGUUGGAAAGUCAGAGAAUGUUGGCUCCUGUCCCUAGUUUAGCCACAGGUCUUUGUGUGCCUCGUAAUAUCUAGGUCCCCCUUUUUGCUGGGUUGUGCUCCACUUCCAUCCCUACUGCACUGGUCACCUACUGAAGCACUUCUGAGCUGAGGAGUUGUCCCUGUGGUCCCUCUUCUCCAGUCCACUCACUCCCGAGCACCUGCCCUCUCCCUUUGCCCAUCCCAUGGCUACAUCUCCCAGACUUUCAGUCUUAUCUAGGAUCCUCUCCUCUUCCCAGCCUGAACCCAGGCCCCACCACAUGGUUCUUAUUAGCAUCUCAAACUUUCCUAACCUUUCCAACUUCCAGUUUCUCCAUUUUCCACAUCAGCCUGAUUUCUGCUUUUUGUUUUUGUUUUUGUUCUUCUAAGCAUGGCAGGUUUGGAGCUGCAGCCUCAGUAUUGAUUGGAAAUUCUUGAACUUGGUAUUAUGUGCUUCGGAUCUAUGUCCCUCAUCUUUGUUGUUAGCCAAUGACAGCUCACCAUCUGUUUCACUGAAGAGAGCUCAUGGGCAAGGGCUUCCUGCCCCCUGCCUUUCUUCCUGCUGUCCUGUGUGUGUAUGCCAUCUCCUUUCCUUCCCUGCUCUUCUGGUUCUGUGUUUUCUGAUCCGGGCUAUGUUCUCUAAGGCUCUGUUUUUCACUCCCAGGACUCUGUAGGCUCUCUCCAUUGCUUACCUCUCUCCACACAGCCUAACAAAGGUCUCUCAAGAUUAAAGCAAAACUGUCACGUCUGUGUCAUGGACCUUUUCCCCUGCCCAUUAUUCUUCAUUUAAAAUAAACCAUUUGACUGAGUGUGAUGGCAUACAUCUUUAUUCUUAGCACUUGGGAGUUCAAGGUCAGCUUGGUCUACAUGUGGCUCACCCAGGGCUACAUGGUAAGACCCUGGCUCGGACAAGAGAGAAUACUUUUCUUUGAUUCUUCUUCCUCUUCGGUCCUCUGUAGGUUUUCAUGAGAGUGACCACAAGCUACCAAAUGACAUGCCUUUCACUUCUCUGCUGCCUCGAGCUCCUCAUGGCGUCUCACCAGCCCAUCUUUCCCCUGUGCAGCUCUCUCUUCACCGUCUUUCAGGGUAUCCGAUGUUGCUACAUUAGCUUUAUCUCAGCCACUGAGGCCGUGCUUGCUGGAAACCUAGACAGAGGGAUGUGCCUGGCUGUCAUCAUUUUCUCCUCCUCAGGGCCUGGGUGAGCAAGAAGAAUCAUAGUUGCUCCUGAUUUUUCCUCUCUGUUUUUCAUGAAUCCCUUCUUCCUGGAUUUGGUUCUCCUCUUGUGAGCUUGUUCUUCGUCAGUGAAUCCUUCCCUCUGUUGUUCCCAGGAGACACAGAGAGACACACCAGUGUGUUAAGAGCCCCCAUGUCAGUCAGCCUAGGUGGGAGCUGGAUUUUGUAGCAUGCAACCUGCUGUCUGGCUCAGCUGGGAAUCCACACUGGUGGACAGCUCACCAUUAUGAUCUGUACCAGUUGGUACCUGCCUUGGUCAGCAGGGAGCUGAGGAUCAUAGGAAGGCAUGCUUCCAUGCAUGGUUCAGUAUAGUCUCAGCAGGGUGGGGUCUGUUCCUAUGACCUUCCUGAGGGAGCAGGAGACUGAGCAGUGUUGUGAUUCCUCACCUGAGCUGAGCCUGGCUCAGGUAGACUCCUCCCACAGGUCUUUCCCAUUUGUGCUGAUCAUUCCACAUCUGCUUGCUUUAGAUGUUACAGGGCUUGAGGCACAUGGUAGUUGCUUUCUUGGAGGUACUGUAGAAGGACAUCUGGCUUGAGUUUUGGAAUCUGUUUUGGCAUUGUCAAUGAUGGGAGGUAUGACCUUGGGUAUAGUUCCUUCAUUUAUAAAGUUAGGAGUCUCUCAGAGAUUCUGUAGUUCUAAAGAUGAUAACUAUGAUUCUAACUCUGAAGCCCAGACCACAUAGGGUCAGAGGAACCCUGGGAGUGGGGACACAGCUAGAGAAGUCCCAACCAGGCAGGGUAACAAACUCUACAGGCCAAAUUGCGCUGCUUUGGAGAAAGUCUUCCCUGGCUGGCGCUGCUUCAUUGAGCCAUAUGCCCAUACCUCAAGCUGGACACUUCUUGGUGUCUGCACACGUUCCUCCUAGAUGUGGUCAUAUGAUCCAAAGUGGCUAGGGGCACAAGGAAAGGAUUUAAGGGGAAGCAAAAUUGAUUUUAAAUAGACCUACACAUUCAAAAUUAAAUAAAAAAUAACACUUUCCUUUACC